GACGAACGCUGGCGGCGUGCUUAACACAUGCAAGUCGAACGGUAAGGCCCUUCGGGGUACACGAGUGGCGAACGGGUGAGUAACACGUGGGUGAUCUGCCCUGCACUUCGGGAUAAGCCUGGGAAACUGGGUCUAAUACCGGAUAGGACCACUGCCUGCAUGGGUGGUGGUGGAAAGCUUUUGCGGGGUGGGAUGGGCCCGCGGCCUAUCAGCUUGUUGGUGGGGUGAUGGCCCACCAAGGCGACGACGGGUAGCCGGCCUGAGAGGGUGACCGGCCAGACUGGGACUGAGAUACGGCCCAGACUCCUACGGGAGGCAGCAGUGUGGAAUAUUGCACGAUGGGCGCAAGCCUGAUGCAGCGACGCCGCGUGAGGGAUGACGGCCUUCGGGUUGUAAACCUCUUUCAGCACCGACGAAGCGCAAGUGACGGUAGGUGCAGAAGAAGGACCGGCCAACUACGUGCCAGCCGCCGCCGUAA
rnacentral:rRNA from 1 species